UGGAUCUUGUCCCGCAGCAGCUGCCACCCACCUCGCCAGCUUGUCCCAUCGCCUGCCGCCAGUCCCAUCCUCCCUCGGGAUCCCCAUCAUUCCAACGAUGCCUCUGUUUUCCCACGGAGAAAGAUCCCCUACAGAUCAUCCAGCCAAUCCCUUGGAGCUCCGGAUCGAGAAGAUCGAGCCCGAACCCCACGUGCUCGCAGUUAGCACCAGCUUUGCGAGCUCCCAGCCGUUUCUUGAGGUCCAUUCCCGUGAGAACCCAUAGCCGUUCAUCGUAGGCCGGCGAGUCGAGCAGCUGGACCAACACGUACAUUUCCUGCUCCCUUUUCCUUUCUUCUUCCCUCUGAUCUUUGUUUCUCUCCUCUGACCUCCUGCUCACUCGUGGACAUUGCCCGCCAUCGCCGUGUUGUCACGCUCCCCGGCAUGCCGCCGCACCUCCGGGUAACACUGUCGCCCCCGCAUAGAUGCGUCGCCAUCGUCUGGAUCCGCCGUCACCGAGCUCCUGCCCAAGGUCGAAAACCACGAUGUCAUCGCCCCGUGGCCAUGCCCUACUCUCCACCACGCCGUUGACCAGCCGAGCACUGGAUCCGCGCCACUCGGCCUCCCUUUGCUUGGAUCCGGAGGGACGUUGCCGUUGUACGUGCUCCAGCCACGGUCUUGGUGAAGUUGUGUUUGUUCUUUUGUUCGUGUUGCUUCAGAUUCGCGUUAGCAUAUUGGUUCAUGUAAUGAAAAUUUCCCCUCGCAUGAUAAGCUGAAGCAUAGCGCACUUGCUAUCACUUCUCGGUUUUACCAAAGUCACCAUGGGUCGAAUCCCUGCGGUUGCGCUUUUAUUCUGUAUUUAUUUUGCUUCUCCAGAGGAUCAGCACUUGCCCCGUUUUAAGGAAGGCUGAGCCAUUUUAUGUCA